rnacentral:lncRNA from 1 species
GUCGCUCUCCCGGACCCAGGCUGGGAAGAGGGGGAUGGCAUCCACAUCUGCCAGGAGUGGGGACAAAAAGGACAUCAGGUCAUCUCAAGCUGCCGCCUCCUUAGGUGGAGGGCAGAAAGUCUCAUUAUCCUGCUCUGAAGAAUUCCUGACCCGAAUCAGCACAGAACUUACAGACGAAGCACUGUUUAUUGCUCGCUCCCGUUUGAGUCCUCUGCCCAAUAAGGAAAAGAACACAAAAGACCAAGGGACUCAGAUAUCUAGACAUGGUGAACGCUCUCCUUCUUCAUCUAGAGACCAGUCCCUGACUCCCUUCCAACCAUAGCUGCUCUCCGCAGGAAUCUGCCAAUGUUUUCCUGCCUCCUUGCCCAUCCUAGGCACAGUGCCCCUUAACUUCCAACUCACUCAUUGUCACUAGCCAGGAACCCCCUUGUCCCUACCUGCUCUAGCCACAACUUUUCUAACCAUGGGGAAAGUUGUUCCUUUAACUGGGGCCUCUAAUUCCAGUGUUCUUCACUAAGACCCGAGGCACUGACACCCGUUCCUGAUUCUCAGCCUAUUCUGUUGUCUUCUGUCAUCUCCAGCUCUGACAAAAAUCGAACCCGAACCAAGGCACACCUUCUGCCUUCUCCUCGUGAAAAGGGACCACUCCCCAACAGCCUGACAACUGGAGGAUGAGCUUGGCCCUCCCUAAUACUGCUCUCUCAGCUUCUUGCCUUCCCCCACUAUGUCCCUCAGUGAAAACCUCAAAGCCCCUCUUUUGCAACUGGCUACGCCUCUCAUCUUGGGAGGAAUGCCUGGUCAUAAGCAAUGCCACCUUUGAAACCAAGAAAAUCUUCUGGAACUGUUGCGGGGCCCUCCACCCUCCAUGGGCAAACGCUACUGAGAAGAAAAUGUUUCAAUAAAGAACCAGGAUCCUCUCUUC